GUGUUGUCCUAACUGGGCAGUAUCCUGUGCUCAGAGAAUAGCAAAUGUCCUGAGAGGGUUGAAGACCCAGGGCUGAACUCAGAAGCCACAUUUUAGCUUUGCAGCAAGUUGCUCACAUUGCAGAAUCUUCUGGGAGAGCCACCUGCUGGCUGUCCUGUGACACAUGGACUGAAGCAACCGCUUGGACCUCCAGGCUGGCCCUGUAGACCCUGGUGCAUCCUGGAGAAAGCCAACAGAAACAGGCUGCAUGCACAGCACUCCCUCCCCACUCGCUGAGGGGCUCUCGGUCACUGCGUUUCUGAUACUCCUGCAGCUGUCUCAGAGGACCUAGCUAAGUCCAGAGAUACCACGUGACAGACACAGGAAGAGGCCUCGUACCUGGCAAAAAAAUCUGGAGGUGGCGGGAUCCCAUCCACCUGUGACCUCUGGCUUUUGUCACCGGGGCUGCCCUGAGUCAGAAUGGGCCAGAAAAGUUAAUGCUUAACCCGGAGGUUCUGAGAGAGCCGCUGGCCACUACGUCAGCACUCCGAGGGGACUCGGGUCAUCGCAGACAACCAGCCCUGGUUCAAAGUCCGGAGUCCCCACGAGGUUGCCUGCCAGUGGGAGAAUGCUGGUGUUGAUGCCCCAGAACUUGAGGACUGUGGUUCCAGAAUGCUGACCAUGGUGGGCAGCUACAGCCUCAGGCUGAACCUGUGGGUGACCGUGUGGCUGGUAUCCAUGGGACAGGUCCAUGCUGACUCAGGCAAGAGCUAGGGUAUCAUCAUAGAUGAAGGGUGGUGGAGGCCAGGCCUCAUGGUGGGAGGUUGAGGGCGGAAAGGAAGGAUGCCCAGGGGAGAAGUCACUGCCCAAGUUGGGCCAAGAUGCCACUUGGAACUUUCUGAAUGAAGACCAUGGAUCCUGGGAGAACAUGAGGAACAGAUGAGAGAGAGAGAGAGAGGCCAUGGGUGAAGUUGGCCGGGCUUCUGGAUCCAUCAGAUGUCAUGGUCACCUGCAAACGUCAUUCUUUUAGUAGCUUCUGAGUGACCACUGGUGGGGCAGGUCCUCUUGGCAUUGGAACAGGCUAAACCAAUAGAGUGAUGCUCACAGGGUAGCUAACGAUGUGUGGGGAGAGGGGUAUUCAGGAAGCCCCAACCGGUACAGUGCACGGAGCCCCAAGAGAUGAGCCAGAGGAAGCUGAGGAGGAAGGGCAGGUGACGUCCCUGCAAAGGUCCCCAGGCAGGAGAACUUAGGAGAGGCUGAGGGGCCUGGGCCUGGGGCUGAAGAUGGAAAGACGCCAGGGAGAGGGCACAGCCAGCGGGGUCUGGGAGAGAGCGAGGUCUCGGGCUGGUGAGAUGGUUUCGCAGGUAAAGGUACCUCUUGGACAGGAUCGACAACCAGAGGGUGGUGGUCCAGCACUCAGGAGGCAGAGGAAGGUGGAGCUCUCUGACUCAAGGGUGGCUUCGUCUACAGAAUCAGGGGCGCCACCUGGUGGCCGGAGUCUCAGCCAUGGAAGCCUCGGACCAGACCUCUGUCCAGGUGUGCCAGUGUCCCGGGUGGGCUCAAAAGACACUCAGGUACGCUUCCCAGUUAGCACAGGUGACACAGGAAGCCGAGGGACCCUAAAGAAAUCCACACGGGGCUGGAGUUUCACGCCCAGUACCAGCCUCUCUUCCCACACACUUCGGUUUCCUUCCAGACUUUUCUCCACACACCCAGGUACUUGCUAAUGUAAAAAGUGAGUUGCAGCCCACAGAAUCAGGAAGCUGAUGGGCUCCCACGCACUUCAAGAUGGGGGGGUUCUCCCUCUCUGUCAGCUGAGAUUUCUUCUGGUGGGCAGAGAGUGGCGGCGAGAUAACACCAGACGGGGGUGUGACCAGGAGCCAGGUGAGCUUCUAGACGUCUCCUCCCCCCCUUGUUCUCCCUCCACUGAGGAAGAUGAGGAAGACGGAAUGACCACAGACCUCACCAAGGGGAUAGGGAGUGGGACUGGGGGCAGAUGUCACCCUACAGAGUUCCUUCUGUCCACAAAGGUGGCAUCUCACGACAACCACCGGCCUUUGCCUGUCCCAGGGCUCCUUGACCUGUGGUCUGCCUGUUUGCCUGCUGGAGGUGGGAAUGUGGUAGCCAAGACAGAGCAGAUCCACCUGGAGGCACCUCAGCCCCAGGGACUGUCAGCGGGUAUCUGCUGUGCUUCCCCUGGGAUGUGCUUCUCAGUGGGGGCUCCCUGGCCACUUGUCCUGUUCUCUGAUUCAGAGGGCUUCGGAGCACAGAGGCCACUUCCACAUCGUUGGCCGGGGGAAUGAAGCAACUUCACAGCGACCUGUCUGCUCUUGUCACUUGUGGAAGAGGCGAGGCGAGGACCUGGUGGGAGGUCAUUGUCACACCAGGCGUACCUACCCAUUGCUUCCGUGAGACUAACUUUGAGGGGACCACGACAUCCCGACAGCCUACGGCCCCUUCCAAGGACACCCUGGGAUUCAUUUAAGCUUCCGUUUUCCAGAUGGGGAAACUGAGGCUUGGGGAGGGGAACAACAAAUAGAGCUGCACAUAUGCUGAGUGUCCAAGGACCCCGUCAGUCACUUUCCGCUCGGGAAAGUUAGGGGUGGGGGUGGGGGCUCUCCCUGGCUGUGUGACUCGUGGUUCCUGGGCUAGUGUGUAACAUGUCACUGGUGCAGCUGUCUGUGUGGAGACGUUUCCCCACCCCAGGUGCUGCUGUGUUGUGAGUUGGGCUGGAGUACAAGACGGGCCAUUCAGGGUGUCACAGCCCAGAAUGCAAACUGACUGGAGGACAGCCAGCACUAACCAGGGCCUACUGAGUUCUGUUCCAUAAGUCCUGUGUGACUGUCACACUCAAACCAGGCCGUGUUACCCCUGGCAAAUAGUUCAACUUCCCCGAGCUCCUUGAAACGGACAGUUCUUCACACAUAGCCAUGGUGGGUAAGCUGGUCUGAUGCUGUCAGCAACUACCGGACAAGCUGUGCGCUCCAGGAAGGAGCAAGCAGGUCUUGCGUGGGUGGGAGCUCUUUACAAACACGUUGCAGGGUUGUCCCGGAAAGGGCGCAGGUCCUUCAACUUUGAGCAUGGGUGUCCGUUGGAGAAAGCUCGCGUAAGGAGAAACCUAGCUUGAAAUGUCUUUAUAGGUUUGGUGUCGUGAUGCAAGACUCCAGGAACCUACUGGAUGCCUAGCCGCACGAGUGCAGGGCACAGGAGUCCUCUGCCUGGCCCACCUGAGACCCUGAAGUUCACUGGGCAUUGAGCUGUUUCCAGUUCCUGGCUCUUAUGACUAGGGCAGCAGUGAACACGGCGGGGCAAGUGUCUCUGUGGUAGGAUGAACAGCCCUUUGGGUACCUGCCCUGGCGAGGUGUAGCUGGAUCUCAAAGCAUGAGGAACCUCCUCCAUGGAUUUUCACAGAGUUUGUACUCACACCAGCACUGGAGGAGUGUCCCCUACCCCCACAUCCUCAUCACCACGAGCUGUCGUCUGUUUUAUUGCCCUUGGCCAAUUCUGACUGGUGUGAGACUACAUUUUGAAGUAGUUUUGAUUUGGAUUUCCCUGAUGGCAAAGACGUUGAACAUUAAACAAAAAACUUUGUCAGA
rnacentral:sRNA from 1 species